rnacentral:rRNA from 1 species
CGCACAGGAUGCACCGUAGUUUACUACACCGUAUUCUGUGAGUUGCGAACGGGUGAGUAACGCGUAGGUAACCUGCCUGGUAGCGGGGGAUAACUAUUGGAAACGAUAGCUAAUACCGCAUAAGAACAUUUACUGCAUGGUAGAUGUUUAAAAGGUGCAAAUGCAUCACUACCAGAUGGACCUGCGUUGUAUUAGCUAGUAGGUGAGGUAACGGCUCACCUAGGCGACGAUACAUAGCCGACCUGAGAGGGUGAUCGGCCACACUGGGACUGAGACACGGCCCAGACUCCUACGGGAGGCAGCAGUAGGGAAUCUUCGGCAAUGGGGGGAACCCUGACCGAGCAACGCCGCGUGAGUGAAGAAGGUUUUCGGAUCGUAAAGCUCUGUUGUUAAGGAAGAACGAGUGUGAGAAUGGAAAGUUCAUACUGUGACGGUACUUAACCAGAAAGGGACGGCUAACUACGUGCCAGCAGCCGCGGUAAUACGUAGGUCCCGAGCGUUGUCCGGAUUUAUUGGGCGUAAAGCGAGCGCAGGCGGUUAGAUAAGUCUGAAGUUAAAGGCAGUGGCUCAACCAUUGUAGGCUUUGGAAACUGUUUAACUUGAG